UACGUAGGUGGCAAGCGUUAAUCGGAAUUACUGGGCGUAAAGCGUGCGCAGGCGGUUUUGUAAGUCUGAUGUGAAAUCCCCGGGCUCAACCUGGGAAUUGCAUUGGAGACUGCAAGGCUAGAAUCUGGCAGAGGGGGGUAGAAUUCCACGUGUAGCAGUGAAAUGCGUAGAGAUGUGGAGGAACACCGAUGGCGAAGGCAGCCCCCUGGGUCAAGAUUGACGCUCAUGCACGAAAGCGUGGGGAGCAAACAGG
rnacentral:rRNA from 1 species